rnacentral:misc_RNA from 1 species
AAUUACCCUAGCUGUGGAUCAUUAAUUUUGGGUUUUCCUCCGAACGAUUCUAUCUAUUGAAGGUAUUCCUCGUCGACAACUUCUUUGCUGUGGCAUUGUUUCUGGCCCUCUGUCUGCUUGGCGACUGGCUUGCGGCGUUGCUUAGGAUAAGGACAGCGAAAGGGAAUUGCUAUGGCUUCUGGUUGAACAUGAAUCAAUCUCUUAUUCUUAUUCUGUUCCUGAUCACUCAGUCUCUUGCUCACCCUCUUUGAUUUUGUUCUUCUUCAUUUUUUUUUUGCCCUCUUUGGAUUUCAAAGAAUUAGAUUAAAAAAAUGAAAAUCUUUUGUUUGUGGAUUGUACCCUUUUGGCAGUGGUCGCUGGAGGUACCAAGAAUUUGUGAUUUUUGGGGUUUUAAUGCUUGAGAAACACAGGAAGGAAGUGGGCUUGAAGAGGUUUGUGCAGAUGUUUCCGGAUUGUGCACUCAUAUAUCAACUCUGUUUUUAUCUUUUGUUCCUAGUAAUACUAAUCCAUUCGACCUGAAUGAGAUGUAGGGAGUGGAGAUAGAAGGGAAGAAGAAAGCUGAAUCAGCAACCUAAAUGGUGGUCUCCAGUACUAAUUCCCACAAGGAGAUAACUGUUAGGAGAAGGAUUGCCAGCAUGUAAUUCUUCUUGUAUCUAUGUUUUGCUUAUUUGUUAUCUCAUUCAAAUUUUUAUGAAUGAAUAUUCUAUAUUUAUGCCUAUCCACUAGUGAUUAAUGGGUUAUCAUUUUACUGAAAGGAUAAGGAAAUUUGUGAUUUUUCUUUGCAAUGGUCCCUGUCUUGUGUGUAGAUGUAUUUGUUGAAAUUGCAAAGGACCAUUAAGGUUCUGCGCUGGAAAUACAUGAUUAGCCUUUUGCUUAGUGAGUAAGUGACAAGGAAAUUUAAUAUUCUUGCAGAUGAUGCGUCAUGCGUGCUCUAUCUUUGAAACUUCCUGCAUUUGUGAACGUCUAAGUUUUCCCUAUUUUUCUUUUAUUGUCAUUGUCAAGUGAUCAGUUAUAGGCAUUUUGAUAAAAUAGAUUAGGAGGAAUAGAAUUUACUUGCAUUGUUCAUGGCAUGCUUAUGCCUUAAAUCUGUCUUAUAAUUGUGAUAAUGUAUUUGGCUUUUCUUGUAGCCAAUAUCUAUGUUGCAGUGUUAGUCCUGGUGUUGCAGAUAAUUCACCACCUUGUUUUUUUAUAGAUUUAAUAAAAGAGAGGAGGAUUUUCCUUCACUGAGGGAAUACAAUGAUUACUUGGAGGAAGUGGAGGACAUGAUAUUUAACUUAGUUGCUGGAGUGGAUGUCCCUGCUAUUGAAGAAAAAAUUGCAAAGUACCAGAAAGAAAAUGCUGAACAAAUAAUGAUAAAUCAGGCACGGAAGGCUGAAGAAUUAGCUGCAGCUUUGGCAGCUAGCAAGGGACUUCCUGCACAGACUGAUACUGAUGGGGUGAGAAUGAAAUAAUUUUAUUCAAUAUUUUUCUUUUUAAAAAAAAAUAAAUGCAUUUUGUUUGUUAUUGGUAAACUUUUCUAAAAUUUUAGAUCAUCAAUUAUUAAUUCUUCCUAGGAUUUGGUUUAAACUUUGCACAUAUUGGAUUUUGGAUUGUGAUUUUUGCAGUGAGGUUAACAUUUAGCUUUUACCUUCUGAUCUGUGCAAAUUAACAGCAGCGAAAAUAUAACUUUGUAAAUUAGUGAUGAUGUUUGGUUUCAGUAUUUAGUUUUUAUUGCUUGGAAUGAUUAUUAUAUUUGAUAUCUAUUAUUGGCCUUAAAUUAGGUUAGCCAUGUAAUUUGCUCCUCAAAUUACCAAGCAGUAGAAAGAAAAUUUCUUUUGGUUAUCCAAAGAAAUCAGGAGAAUAAAUUCAUGUGAGAUCUUCUAUCUUUGAUUACAAAAGAAGUUUUUUCAGAAUGAGGGCUUUAUAUAUAUAUAGUCUGAAAUGAAGUACUAGAGCAGAUGAGUGUUUGUUAGGAAUUCUUCCCCUUUGAUUGCAUAGAAGUGUUUUUGGCAGACCAAAUUUCAAAUGAAUUAUUAUCAAGUGUUUAUGUUUUGUCUAUAAUAUGUGUCUGUAUGGAAUGAUGUCGAAUGGACCAUUCUCAUUCCAUACAUCUUUCUACAUGUAUGCCUACGGAAAUUUGAAAGGUAGCUACUCAAUCCCGUGAAGGCUGUGUAGUUUAGCUUUCACUGCAUCCUAUGAAUAUAUUCCUGCCAGAGAUUGCAAGAUAAAUAUGUGGUUUAACUCUGAAUUGCUGUUCGAGUUAAUCUUCUAAUAUAAAUAUAUGAUACAACUGAUAAUUAAAAUACCAUCACUUGUCUUGAUGUGAAAGGUAACUUGCCCAGUUUUAUGUUUGGGCAAUUAGGAUGGAGAGGUACUUACCUUUAAUAUGAAGGCCCUGUUUCUAAGGUUGGAAACUAAACCGGUAAAGUUAGUUUAUGGACACUUGAAUAUGUGUUUAUUAUGUGCUGUCGUUGGACUGCCAACUCUUUUGUUUUGAUUUCAGGCUUCUAUGGGCCCUAUUUCGUUGUUUAUUCUUCCUUUGAAUUGAUGAGUACUUAUUUAUUUGUUGAGCCAGAGCUCUCAAGGAGGCUUUGGCAUUGAACCCGGGCAAUAUGCACCAUCAGUUCCUGGAGGACAGCCACGACCAACAGGCAUGGCUCCACAACCAGUGCCACUUGGGGGUCCAGAUAUGCACGAUGAUGAGGAAACGAUGAGACUCCGGAUAGAGAGGGGGAGCAGGGCUGGUGGUUGGAGCAUAGAGCUUAGCAAGAAAAGGGCACUUGAGGAAGCUUUUGCAAGUAUCUGGAUUUAGUAUCUUUUCAUUGGUUGUCUUCUAUACAUUACACUGCAAUUGUCAUCCAUGUGAGCCCCCAAAAAGUUAGAAGUAAGGUAGGGACUAUCCAUUGUUUUUGUAACAUGCUGACACAGGAUUAAUUAGACCUUGAAGUUAUGCUAAAUAGUCACAUAAGUUUUUAAAGUGUUUUUGAGUUUAAUUAAGCUUUUCAACUUUUAA